rnacentral:rRNA from 1 species
UACGAAGGGGGCUAGCGUUGCUCGGAAUCACUGGGCGUAAAGGGUGCGUAGGCGGGUCUUUAAGUCAGGGGUGAAAUCCUGGAGCUCAACUCCAGAACUGCCUUUGAUACUGAGGAUCUUGAGUCCGGGAGAGGUGAGUGGAACUGCGAGUGUAGAGGUGAAAUUCGUAGAUAUUCGCAAGAACACCGGUGGCGAAGGCGGUUACCUGGAGCUUUGCUGACGCUGAUGCGCGAAAGCGUGGGGAGCGAUCCGG